rnacentral:rRNA from 1 species
UUGGAGGGCAAGUCUGGUGCCAGCAGCCGCGGUAAUUCCAGCUCCAAUAGCGUAUAUUAAAGUUGUUGCAGUUAAAAAGCUCGUAGUUGAAUUUCGGGAUCAAUGUUUCGGUCAUGCCGUUGGUAUGUACUGAUACUAUUGAUUUCUCACCUUCUAAAGAACCGUAAUGCCAUUAAUUUGGUGUCACGGGGAAUUAGGACUGUUACCUUGAAAAAAUUAGAGUGUUUAAAGCAGGCUCACGCUUGAAUACAUUAGCAUGGAAUAAUGAAAUAGGACAUCCGAUUCUAUUUUGUUGGUUUCUAGGAUCGAUGUAAUGAUUAAUAGGGAUAGUUGGGGGCAUUAGUAUUCAAUUGUCAGAGGUGAAAUUCUUGGAUUUAUUGAAGACUAACUACUGCGAAAGCAUUUGCCAAGGAUGUUUUCAUUAAUCAAGAACGAAAGUUAGGGGAUCGAAGACGAUCAGAUACCGUCGUAGUCUUAWCCAUAAACUAUGCCGACUAGGGAUCGGAUGAUGUUAAUUUUUUAAUGACUCAUUCGGCGCCUUACGGGAAAC